AUUCAACUGAUGAGUUCCACAAUAGGACGAAACGCGUAUUCUGAAU
rfam:Schistosoma margrebowiei strain Zambia genome assembly, scaffold: SMRZ_scaffold0000311